rnacentral:rRNA from 1 species
UAGAUACCCCACUAUGCUUGGCCCUAAAUCUUGACACUUCCUCAACUAAAGUGUCCGCCUGAGAACUACGAGCACAAACGCUUAAAACUCUAAGGACUUGGCGGUGCCUCAAACCCACCUAGAGGAGCCUGUUCUAUAAUCGAUAACCCACGCUACACCCGACCGCUCUUUGCCCGCUCAGCCUACAUACCGCCGUCCCCAGUCCACCUAUCCUGAAAGAACAGCAGUGAACACAACAGCCCUAACCACGCUAAAAAGACAGGUCAAGGUAUAGCCCAUAGAGCGGAAGAAAUGGGCUACAUUUUCUAACUUAGAAAACUACGAAAGAGGGCAUGAAAUUUCCCCCAGAAGGCGGAUUUAGCAGUAAAGUUGAAUCACAACGCCAUCUUAAAACUGGCCCCGGGGCACGUACAUACCGCCCGUCACCCUCCUCGCAAGCUACCACCCCGAGUAAUUAACGCGCACUCCCAGCCAAAGAUGAAGU